UACGAAGGGGGCUAGCGUUGCUCGGAAUCACUGGGCGUAAAGCGCACGUAGGCGGAUUGCUAAGUCAGGGGUGAAAUCCUGGAGCUCAACUCCAGAACUGCCUUUGAUACUGGCGAUCUUGAGUCCGGGAGAGGUGAGUGGAACUGCGAGUGUAGAGGUGAAAUUCGUAGAUAUUCGCAGGAACACCAGUGGCGAAGGCGGCUCACUGGCCCGGUACUGACGCUGAGGUGCGAAAGCGUGGGGAGCAAAGCAGGAUUAAGAUACCCCAGU
rnacentral:rRNA from 1 species